rnacentral:rRNA from 1 species
AUGGGCGGCGCCGACACCCUCCUCUGGCAGGAGCCAUGGUUCGUCUCCCUGGCCGUCCUCGGCGCACUGUACACAGCGGCUGUCGUGCUACGCCUCCUCUCACACCUCGCCCUCCUCCUGCGCCGGCCGAGGGACCUCCGCCGCCGCUACGGGGCGUGGGCCGUCGUGACCGGCCCCACGUCCGGCAUCGGCCAGUCCAUGGCCCUGGAGCUCGCGCGCUUGGGCCUCAACCUCGUCCUCGUCGGCCGCGACCCCGCCAAGCUCAAGGACAUCUCCGAGACCAUCUCCAAGACCCGCGCCGUGCAGACCAAGACCGUCGUCUUCGACCUCGCGCUCGUCGCCACCCCUCAAGGGGACGAGGCGGUGCGGCGGCUCCGGGAGGCCGUGGAGGGGCUGGACGUGGGGGUGCUGGUGAACAACGCCGGGGUGGCCAAGCCAUGCGCGCUGUACGUGCACGAGGUGGACGUGGAGGCGUGGGUCCGGAUGAUGCGGGUGAAUCUGUGGGCGCUGACGGAGGUGACGGCCGCCGUGCUGCCGGGGAUGGUGCAGCGGGGCAGGGGCGCCGUCGUCAACAUAGGCUCCGGGUCGUCGGAGGCCAUCCCUUCCUUCCCCCUCUACACCAUCUACGCCGCUUCCAAACGGUACGUUGCUCAGUUCUCCCGGAGCCUCUACGUGGAGUACAGAAGCAAAGGGAUCGAUGUGCAAUGCCAGGCCCCGCUGUUGGUGCCGACGAAGAUGACGUCGAUAGUCGCGGGGCCCGGCAAGCGACGCCGUUGCCUGCUGCAGCGGCUCCACGUGCCGACGUCGGAGGAGUACGCGCGCGCGGCGGCGCGCUGGAUCGGGCACGGCCCGCUCUGCAUGCCCAACCUGGGCCACCGGCUCCAGUGGCGCCUCUGCCGCGUCGUGCCGGACCGGCUCCUCGACGCGCAGCGCCUGCGCGAGAACGUGCGGCAGAGGGCCGUCUUCCAGCGGCUCCGGUCGCCGAGGGCGCCGUCCCACGCCAACGGCGGCGAGCAGAGCUAG